rnacentral:ncRNA from 1 species
AUACGAAAAAGGCAAACUUAUCGAAAGGUAAGGACGCAAAGCUUCAGACCUAAGGCAAUUGCUAAGGUAGCUGGGUUACCGAA